UUCAGACGAUGCGUCAUGCAUAUCAAUAAGCGGAGGAAAAGAAACUAACAAGGAUUCCCUAGUAACGGCGAGUGAAGCGGGAAGAGCUCAAAUUUGAAAUCUUCAAGGUUUUACCUUGACGAAUUGUAGUUUAAAGAAGUGUUUUCCGUUAGAGAGUUGGUGAAAAGUUCUUUGGAAUAGGCCAUCAUAGAGGGUGAGAAUCCCGUAUUUGACCAUUCUUUCUAACUGUGUGAUACACUUUCAAAGAGUCGGAUUGUUUGGGAAUGCAGUCCAAAAUGGGUGGUAAAUUUCAUCUAAAGCUAAAUAUUGGCGAGAGACCGAUAGCGAACAAGUACCGUGAGGAAAGAUGAAAAGAACUUUGAAAAGAGAGUUAAACAGUACGUGAAAUUGUCAAAAGGGAAGCGUUUGACACCAGUGUUGUUUUUCCGAAAAUCAAUUAAAAAUGGAUUCAUGCCAAGUUGUAUUGACCUUAUCAGCUUGCAAUUUGGUUUUGGGUUCCUUUUUGAUGCACUUUUCGGUUAACAAGUCAACAUCAAUUUCCUUUGCUGUAAAAGGGCAGAAGGAAGGUGGCUUCAAUUUCGGUUGAAGUGUUUAUAGCCUUUUACUUCUGCAAUCGGAGAGAUUGAGGUCUGCAGCGUAGAUCCUUCGGGGUUAGAUACAUUUGUGCUAAGCUAUAGCCUUGUAUAGACAACUUGUUGACUAUGCUCGGUCUUGUAAUUUACUCGCGAGUGCUAUUUUACCUACGCUUAGGAUGUUGAUAUGCAUGACUGAUAU
rnacentral:rRNA from 1 species